UACGGAGGGUGCGAGCGUUGUCCGGAAUUAUUGGGCGUAAAGAGCUCGUAGGCGGUCUGUCGCGUCUGCUGUGAAAACUCAGGGCUUAACCCUGAGCUUGCAGUGGGUACGGGCAGACUAGAGUGCGGUAGGGGAGACUGGAAUUCCUGGUGUAGCGGUGAAAUGCGCAGAUAUCAGGAGGAACACCGGUGGCGAAGGCGGGUCUCUGGGCCGAUACUGACGCUGGAGGAGCGAAAGCCGUGGGGAGCAAACAGG
rnacentral:rRNA from 1 species